CGCAGAAGUUUCACCAAAGGCCUAGACCAGAUUGGAAAAUCACUAAAUGAGAAUCCCAAGUACCAAGUUAGUGUGGAAUAUGAAGCGUGGACUCCAAGCAGGGCCGGAUUAACGUAGGGGCAGAUGGAGCUGCAGCUCCAGGCCCAUGCCCAUUGCUAAAAAAAAAAUAUAUUUUUAUUUUACUACCCUUCACAUGUGGAUGUAGGGAAACAAAAGCUUGUGUGGAUUGGCUGACAAUGAAAUUAGUUAAUGUAAAGCUGACUUUGCGCACCAUGCAAAUGCUCUUGCUUCUUCAGUCUCUCUAACUCUGUGGCAUGUUCCUAAGACUGUAUAACAGGAGCUCCUGCCUGCUAGUAAGACAGUAAAGAGAGGAGUGGACAAGUGAGUGCUUGGGGCAGUUCUUAGAAAUCAUGGAGCAAGCGCAUUAGACUAAUUUAUGCCAAGCUCAGGGUGCUGUCUGCAUAGUAUGCCCUGAGUUGGCCAGGCUGCAUGAUUGGCAGGCACCCUGACAUGUAUUCACGCCAGGCUGACCUUCUAAUUCCUCGGGCAGAUUUAUUUGGGCAUGAUUGUGGUUUUGGUUACGUGAUUCAUGUCAGUGGCUCACCUUUUUACCCUGCCCACCAGGGCUGGACUGGGAAAAAAAAUCAGCCCGGGAAUUUAAAGGCAGGGCAGCCCAGUUGGAGGGGACGGGGACAAAAAGUGGGCGUUUCAUGUCAUCAAUAAUGACAUGCACGCCACCUCAGAGUGAGUAUGUUAGUUGGCUGUACCUCCAGGGCAUUUCAUGCGCAGAGCCCUGCUGAAGAGCACUCGCACCAAUGCCCUGUGUUUAUUUUACACAGCAGAGCUCUGCGAUUGCUGGUGACAUUGUCUCUGGUGUCCCUACCAGAGGGAUAACAGAGGACAAAAGUGGGGUGUGACCAGUAAAGGGUGUUGUGCAUGUGUGGGGUGGCUCUCUGUGGCACUGUAUGUGGUUGGAGGCUGAUUGUGAGAUUGUGUGUGCAUAGAAGUGACUGUUUGUGGUGUUGUGUGUGUGUGUGUAAACGAGUCUGGUGUACUAUGUGUGGCUAGGGACUGUAGUGCGUAUAUGUUUCCACUGGAUGUAAAGUGUGGGUCUGUAGAGAUUGUGUGUGUAUAGCGGUUGUAGAGAGAGAGAGAGAGAGAGAAAGCAUUUGUGUAUUUGUAGUACUUCUAGAGGGGGUAGUGUGCAUGUAUGUUUAUUGGGACUGUUGUGUGUGUGGGGGUGUAUCUAGGGGCUGUACCAUGUUAUAGGGGCUGUAAUGUGUGUUUUUAUGUAUAGGGGCUGUAGUUUGUGUGAACAAGGUAGUAUAUGUGAACAGGGUAGUUUGUGUUUGUAGUGUAGUGUGAGUAUAGGGGCUAUAAAGAGGGUUUGUGAGUCUAGAGGGUGUAUGUGACUGUCUAUGUGGUGUAGUGUGUGUCUAGAGAGUGUGUGCAUUUAGGGGCUGUAGUGUGCGUAUACAUGUAUCUAUUGUUUGUGUGUAUGGACUGUAGUGUGUGUAUAGGGCUACAGUGAGUUUGCAUUAGGGCUGCUGUUUGUGUGUAUAAUGGUCUUUAGUAUGUAUUUAUUGGGCUAUUGUGUAGGGGGGCAUAAGGGUUCAGACUGUAGAGGGAAACAAAUAAUACAAUUUAAAAAAAUAA
rnacentral:lncRNA from 1 species